GGCAAACGGGUGCGGAACACGUACGCAAUCUACCCUUAACUGGAGCAUAGCCCGAAGAAAUUCGGAUUAAUACUCCAUAAAAUAACAGAGUGGCAUCACUCAAUUAUUAAAGAAUUUCGGUUAAGGAUGAGCGUGCGUCCCAUUAGGUAGUUGGUAGGGUAAUGGCCUACCAAGCCGACGAUGGGUAGCUGGUGUGAGAGCACGACCAGUCACACGGGCACUGAGACACGGGCCCGACUCCAUACGGGAGGCAGCAGUAAGGAAUAUUGGUCAAUGGACGCAAGUCUGAACCAGCCAUGCCGCGUGAAGGAUGAAGGUCCUCUGGAUUGUAAACUUCUUUUAUGUGGGAAGAAAUGCAUUCUUUAUAGAGUGUUUGACGGUACCAUAGGAAUAAGCACCGGCUAACUCCGUGCCAGCAGCCGCGG
rnacentral:rRNA from 1 species